rnacentral:tRNA from 1 species
UGUCAAGGGAUGGGAAUCGAACUCACGACCUUCCGCUUACCGGGCAGAUGCCAUGACCAUUAGGCUACCUAGGAC